UGCAGCCUUGUCAAAUUCAGUGUGUGCUGUUCAGUGGACCUCACUGGCCAAGAUGGCUGCCACAGAGAACAUGCAGUCCAUUUGCCCCACCUCCUGUCACUGUGGAGGCUGGGGAUAAAUAAAUACUGCAGAUAAAU
ensembl:snoRNA small nucleolar RNA SNORA5